AGCUUUGCACGGUGGCAGUAUCAUGGCCAAUGAGGUUUAACCAAGGCACAAUUAUUGCUAAUCGAAACAUUUACAUAUAACUCAAGCAAUAUCUAGUGAAAGGGAAAACUU
rnacentral:snRNA from 1 species